rnacentral:misc_RNA from 1 species
AAGUCGUAACAAGGUUUCCGUAGGUGAACCUGCGGAAGGAUCAUUAACACUUUUUCAAAGUGAGAAAGAGGAAUUGUUCACACGUUUCUCUUUCUCAAAUCCAACUACCCAAAUUGAAGUGCUGGUGGAAGGUUCGAUUUCCGAGCUUUCCCACACGUUUUUUUCUCUUCUUUUAACAAACCCCAAACACACAUGCUAAUGAAAUGACAAACAAAAAAACAAAAAUAACUACUAACGUAAACAAACAACUUUUAGCAACGGAUAUCUUGGCUCUC